rnacentral:misc_RNA from 1 species
UGUAUUUUUCUCUUUUCUUUUAGUUUCUUCUUCUUUUUUUUUCCAAUUUUUACUUUUAUUCUUUUCUUUGUCUUCUCUUUCUUUCGUAUUUAUUUAUUUUCAUUUUUAUUUUAUUUUUUUCCAUCCUUUUUCCCCCCUUUCUGUAUUUUUUCUUUUCUUUGCUUUUUCUUUUUCUUUCCUUUUUUUUUUUUUUUCUUAUACCUCAAUUCUUUCUUUUUUCUUUCUUGUCUUUUCAUCUUUUUUAUUUUAUUUGUCUCCGGAAGGCAACGGUACACGAUGCGCGCGAGUAUCAUGUACUAAACGAAACCUAUAUAUAUGUAUACAUUUCUUUUUCAACUCUGCGAAGCACAGCUGAGGAGUGUAAGUUUCAUGAAAAAAGAAAAAGAGAAAAAUAAAUAAAAAUGAAAUAAACUGAAAUGAAAUAAAACGAAAAAGAAAUCGGAGGGAAAAACGACGAUCAGACUAAAGUAAGUUUGGUUAUUCUUUUGCUUUUUUUUUCUUUUUUUUUUUCUCUUUUUUAGUUUUUUCUUUCGUCUUAUUUUCUACAUCGAAUAUCGUCGCUAUACGCCGCCGCCGCCGCGCACGUUAUAUAGAUGCGCAUUGGGAGAGAAAAUGAUUAAUCAUAAUUUAAUAUCGAAAAUGUGUCUCGUGAACGAAAAUUUUGUAUUAUUUUUCCACUCUCAUACGAAACACAGAUACAUAUGUGCAUGUGUGUGAUAUAUAUAUGUAUAGAUGUAACGUACAUAGUACAUCUAUAAAUACAUAAUACAUGUAAUGGUUUUUAUUAUAGAGAUCGAAACGAGUCGGUGCAAAGCACAUAGCAAGAUUCUUGGUUAUUUAUGUAGCGGAGUGUGUAACUCCGUUGGAAUCGUUGCUCGAUCUUUGAAUCCCGCGCAGCAUGGUGCACUAUAUAUAUAUCAUAUAU